UGGGGAAUUUUGGACAAUGGGCGCAAGCCUGAUCCAGCCAUGCCGCGUGAGUGAAGAAGGCCUUCGGGUUGUAAAGCUCUUUCGGCGGGGACGAAACGGUCCGUGUUAACACCACGGAUCACUGACGGUACCCGCAGAAGAAGCACCGGCUAACUACGUGCCAGCAGCCGCGGUAAUACGUAGGGUGCAGGCGUUAAUCGGAAUUACUGGGCGUAAAGCGUGCGCAGGCGGUCUCUUAAGACAGGUGUGAAAUCCCCGGGCUUAACCUGGGAACUGCGCUUGUAACUGAGAGGCUUGAGUGCGGCAGAGGGGGGUGGAAUUCCACGUGUAGCAGUGAAAUGCGUAGAGAUGUGGAGGAACACCGAUGGCGAAGGCAGCCCCCUGGGUCGACACUGACGCUCAUGCACGAAAGCGUGGGGAGCAAACAGG
rnacentral:rRNA from 1 species